UUUUGUUUGCUCUACGUCUCAUUCAGCAUCAGUUCUACAUGCAGCCAUGAGGAUGAAGACUGUAGGCCUAUUAUGUGUUUUGAGUUUAAUCUCAUUUACCUGUGGAAAAGAAAAUCCACACAAAGCGAAGCUUGAGACUUGCGGAGGAUGACGUCUAAAUAGCCUUCCACAUGUGAAGGCUUUUAUCAAUGAUCAUGCCAACUUGUACUCCGAUUUUGAAGUGGAGUACAUUGGUGGGGCUGAUCCAGAAUUGGUAUUCAUGGACAAAGAUUCAAAAGAGCUUGAGAGAAUUCCUGUAGAUGAGUUAAUAACAGAAGAUAUUUGCAAAGAGCUAGAAAAAAGAGGUUUCAAAAAAGAUGAAGUUAAGAGCAAUAAACCAUCUGACUAUGAUGAACUUUAAGAAGCAACAUAGAUUUCAUGUUACAAGAUAAAAUGCAGACAACAAGGACAUUUAAUUAAUUUACACUAAUAGGACUUUUUCUAUGUGAAGUUAUGAUGCUGUUUUGUGUAAACCUAUUCCUUUACAGCUGAAUGUACACUAAUUAUUGUGUUCUUCACUUAUUUCAAGACAUAUAUCUCAUUUUUAAUACAA